UACGUAGGUGGCAAGCGUUGUCCGGAUUUAUUGGGUUUAAAGGGUGCGUAGGCGGCUUUGUAAGUCAGUGGUGAAAUAUGGCAGCUCAACUGUCAAGGUGCCAUUGAUACUGCGGAGCUUGAGUACAGAUGAGGUAGGCGGAAUUGACGGUGUAGCGGUGAAAUGCUUAGAUAUCGUCAAGAACACCUAUAGCGAAGGCAGCUUACUAGGCUGUAACUGACGCUGAGGCACGAAAGUGUGGGGAUCAAACAGG
rnacentral:rRNA from 2 species